rnacentral:misc_RNA from 1 species
GGAGAUUUUCUCUCGCAAGAAAUUAUCUAAAGGGUACAAGUUCAGUGUCCUUGGCAUCAGAGAAAGCAGAAAAUCUUGUUAUUCAAGCAGCACGGGAAUUCUUUUUCUCAGCUUCUAGUCUGUCAUGCUCAGAAAUCUGGAAGGCAAAGGAAUGCCUAAAUUUGUUUCCAAGCAGCAGACAUGUUAAAGCAGAGGCUGAUAUGAUUGAGGCACUAACUGUUAAGCUUCCAAACCUUGGAGUGACUCUUCUAC